UCUGCCACACAAAUGCGCGCGCAGGGACGGAAUUUGAGAAUUUGAAAGUGGCGGGAACGGAGGGGCACCUGCCAUUUUAUUUACCGACCGAGAGACGGUCGUCUCCUGUGCGGGUGGGAAACUGAAGGCACCCGUGGGAGGCAGGUCCCAGGGUCUCCGGAGCGGGGACCAGGCUCCCAGCGGCCCUCCCGGUCCCAGGCCUCCGAGGGGCGGGCCGCGGGGCACAGCGGGACAGGCUCGCAGGGACACUGGGUGUCCGGUGCCUGCCAGCCUCGCCCCCGCCCCGACAUUCUGGCCGUGGGGCGUCCCGGGCCUCGUGAAGCAGCUCUCGCUCGCCCCCAGGCGGUCAGAUGCGCGUCUGCACUGCGCACCUGCGUGACACUGGUUUCCUCCGUAAGACGUGGCUGCGGACACCUCCCGAGGUUUAUGACCGCUCGGCAAAUGCUACCCGCUGCUUUUGCCGGCUCCCCGACUCGCGCUGGACUCCUGACCAUGCUGGACCCUAAGCUGUGCACAGGAAGAACAACACUUUUAAUCAUCGGAAUCGAAGACACAGCGUCAAGACCUAGGCCGAGUGUCCAAGACGCACUCCCUCUAAGGGGCCGCCCUCCAGUCCUGGGCGUUACUGGGCGUCUUUCACGGUCCCGCCUGGCCUGUGCAGCCCUUGCCUUGCCUGGUCUGCGAGCUUUUGCUGCUGUCAGUGAAGAGCUUGCAUUUGGCUCCUUCGUUCACCUUUUCCAAAGCAGGGAGCAGUGCGAGGGCGGCGAAGGAGUGGGGGUACAGCCCUCGCUCCCUAACGUGGGCAACGGCCACGCAGUGCUUGCGAGGGAUUCUACCAGUUACCUUAACAAAUACAUGAAAUCCGCAUCUUACAGUGUCUUAAUGUUUUAAAGUGGAGCCUUUUCAGUAUAACUUAAUUACUUAAUUUCUCUAAAAAUUUCCUUAAAAU